GAGUGAACGCUGGCGGUCGGCCUAACCCAUGCAAGUCGAACGGCAGCCCAGUAAGAGCUUGCUCUUACGGGUGGCGAGUGGCGGACGGGUGAGGAAUACAUCGGAAUCUACUUUUUCGUGGGGGAUAACGUAGGGAAACUUACGCUAAUACCGCAUACGACCUACGGGUGAAAGCAGGGGAUCUUCGGACCUUGCGCGAUUGAAUGAGCCGAUGUCGGAUUAGCUAGUUGGCGGGGUAAAGGCCCACCAAGGCGACGAUCCGUAGCUGGUCUGAGAGGAUGAUCAGCCACACUGGAACUGAGACACGGUCCAGACUCCUACGGGAGGCAGCAGUGGGGAAUAUUGGACAAUGGGCGCAAGCCUGAUCCAGCCAUACCGCGUGGGUGAAGAAGGCCUUCGGGUUGUAAAGCCCUUUUGUUGGGAAAGAAAAGCAGCGGGUUAAUACCCCGCUGUUCUGACGGUACCCAAAGAAUAAGCACCGGCUAACUUCGUG
rnacentral:rRNA from 1 species